CCAACGAGGAGCGGUUGGCGACACUGGGUUGUGACUGAGGCCAAGAUGGACGGAAGUGGAGUAGAGUCCGGAAGUGAUCUGGAUUUGGAGGAUGUAGAUGGCGGGGGAAAUGAAAGAAACAAAAGUAGUAAGUGGACUUUAGUAGAAAAACGGAAAAGAAGGAAAGAUUGGAGUCAAACAUCAGGAACAGAAAGUGAGAGAGAAUGUCAUCAGAUGAGAACAAGAAAGGAGGAGUUU